rnacentral:snRNA from 1 species
GUGCUUGCCUUGACAGCACACACAAUUGGAAGGAUGGGAGAUCAGUAUGGCCUCUGUGGAAAGAGGCCACUCAAAUUUGGGAAGCAUUCCAUAUUUUU